AGUGAACGCUGGCGGCAGGCCUAACACAUGCAAGUCGAGCGGCAGCGCGGGGGCAACCCUGGCGGCGAGCGGCGGACGGGUGAGUAAUUCGUCGGAAUCUGCCUUUUUGUGGGGGAUAACGUAGGGAAACUUACGCUAAUACCGCAUACGUCCUACGGGAGAAAGUGGGGGACCGCAAGGCCUCACGCAGAAAGAUGAGCCGACGACCGAUUAGCUAGUUGGUGGGGUAAAGGCCCACCAAGGCGACGAUCGGUAGCUGGUCUGAGAGGAUGAUCAGCCACACUGGGACUGAGACACGGCCCAGACUCCUACGGGAGGCAGCAGUGGGGAAUAUUGGACAAUGGGCGCAAGCCUGAUCCAGCCAUGCCGCGUGUGUGAAGAAGGCCUUCGGGUUGUAAAGCACUUUUGUCCGGAAAGAAAUCCCUGGAGCUAAUACCUUCGGGGGAUGACGGUACCGGAAGAAUAAGCACCGGCUAACUUCGUG
rnacentral:rRNA from 1 species